rnacentral:rRNA from 1 species
UAAAGCGUGCGCAGGCGGUUUUGUAAGACUGUCGUGAAAUCCCCGGGCUCAACCUGGGAAUGGCGAUGGUGACUGCAAGGCUAGAGUUUGGCAGAGGGGGGUAGAAUUCCACGUGUAGCAGUGAAAUGCGUAGAUAUGUGGAGGAACACCGAUGGCGAAGGCAGCCCCCUGGGUCAAAACUGACGCUCAUGCACGAAAGCGUGGGGAGCAAACAGGAUUAGAUACCCCGU